CCAGACGGUCGGAUGGUUGCGGUCCCGUAAGGGAUCGAGGAAAGUCCGGGCUCCAUGGAAACACGGUGCCGGUUAACGGCCGGCGGGGGCGACCCCAGGGAAAGUGCCACAGAAAGCAAACCGCCUUUAGCUUCGGCAAAGGGUAAGGGUGAAAGGGUGCGGUAAGAGCGCACCGCGCUUCCGGUGACGGGAGCGGCAGGGUAAACCCCACCGGGAGCAAGACCGAGUAGGAACGGCCGGUGACUUCGGGUCACAGGCGGGUUUUCAC
rnacentral:RNase_P_RNA from 1 species